rnacentral:rRNA from 1 species
AUGCCUACUGACAAGGCGCCGGGGCCGGAUGGCUUCACCGAUCUCUUCUUCAAGAAGUGCUGGGGCAUCAUCAAGCACGACCUCAUGAGGGUGAUCCAACGCUUUGACUCCUUACACACGGCAAACCUGCACUGGCUCAACUCUGCGAAUAUUGUGUUGCUUCCCAAGAAAGAUGGGGCGGAGAGCAUCGUCGACUUUAGGCCCAUUAGCCUCAUCCAUGCGGUCGCGAAGAUCAUCGCGAAGGUGCUCUCUAUCAGGCUUGGCCCGCACAUGUCCGCCCUCGUCUCUAACGCCAAAGUGCUUUCAUCAAAACACGGAGCAUCCACGACAACUUCAUGUAUGUUAGAAACCUUGCGCGUCGGCUGCAUAAGAGCAGGACCCCCUCUCUCCUCUUCAAGCUUGACAUUCGAAAGGCCUUUGACUCGGUUAAGUGGGAGUAUUUGCUUGAUCUACUGCGGAGACGAGGCUUCCCUAGAAAAUUUCGUGAGUGGAUUGCGGCUCUCCUCUGUUCCUCAUCUUCGAGGGUUCUCUUGA